GCGACCUCAAUUGAGGCAAGAUUACUCGCUGAACUUAAGCAUAUCAGUAAGCGAAGGAAAAGAAACUAACGAGGAUUU
rnacentral:rRNA from 1 species